GUCUUAAAAGAAAAUUGAAAAACAGAAGAUUACAGGAAAAAAAAGAAGAAUAGGGGGAAUGACUUUUUUAAAUUAAUGGAAAUUCAAGGAUUUUGAAGCUGAUAAGUUGCUUAAGAAUAAGGUAAGGAAAGGAAAGAGAAUGGAGAAGAAAAAAUAAUAGAAAGAACAAGGUCUUCAAUGAUGGGAAGAUAUUGACUUUAGAUUCACAAAGUCAAUGAACCUGCAAAUGGGAUAAAUACAAAGUAAAUAUUCAUCUGUCAACUCUAUUCAUCAUAUUCAUCUGUCAACUCUACAAUAAAAUUAUUGAAAAUGAAAGAUACAGAAAAGAAUCUUGAAAAAUAGGGGGAAACACGAAUGGUGGCCGAGUUGUCAUAAGGAACAAUGGAAGCCAGAAAUCAAUGGAAUGACAUUUCUAUAGUGUAGAAUGGUAAGUGGUAACCUAGAAAUUUAUAAACAGUGGAAACAUACUUUAAAAGCAAAAUAAAACUGUACUCCCAAUUGUGACCAAGGAGAAGUCAAAGGGACUAAAUUUAUUCUCCAACCUGAAAUAAUAAAAUAAAAUAUAUUCAAGAGUUUUCAAGAUAUUUGGACACUACACAAUGAAUGACAGUGAUUACUGAAAGAUGGAAAACAAAUGAGGUUAUCUCUACAAUUGCUUCAGCUUUCUUCCUGAAACUUGCAGUGUUGAGAUGAUAAAGCUUACAGUAUGAGAAGGUCAAGAAAACUAAAGUUCACAAACUGCGGUGAAGAGCAAAGAUCUGCAUAAGGUCCCCAUGGAGUUUUCAAAUGAGUAUUCAUCAGUGUAUGAUAUGAGAAAAGUGUGAAAUGCCAAGAAAGGAUCCACCUGAAAAAUACCAUAUUCUCUUUUUAUAUAAUUAUUAAUUCUCAGAGACCAAACAUGACUAGUAAUAGUACUUAUUCCUAGCAGCCAGAUUGGAAAACAUUCUAAAUUUUUUAUUGGCACACAACGUUGUACAUAUUGAUGGGAUUUAUAGUUAUAUAUACAUGCAUGUAUACAAUAUAACAAUAUAAUUUGGCCAAUAUCACUCCCCAACACUUCUCCCCUCCCUCCCUGUCUUCCACCCUUGGUCCCUUUCCUCUACUGAUCUCUCUUGAUUUUUAGGAGAUCCACCACUACCUUUGUUUUCCUGUUCCUCUCAGCUUCCACAUAUGAGAGAAAACAUACAGUCCUUAACUUUCUUCUGAGUUUGACUUAUUUCACUUAAUGUGAUGCUCUGUAGUUCCAUUCAUUUUCCUGUAAAUGGUAUAAUUUAAUUUUUCUUUAUGGUUCAAUAAAAUGCCAUUGUGUAUAUAUACCAUAUUUUCUUUUUAUAUAUAUAUUUUUAGUUGUAUGUGGACACAAUACCUUUAUUUUAUUUAUUUUUAAGUGGUGCUGAGGAUCAAACCCAGUGCCUCACACAUGCUAGGCAAGUGCUCUACCACUGAGCCACAACCCCAGGCCCCAUAUUUUCUUUAUCUAUUCAUCCAUUGAUGGACACCUUGGCUGGUUCCAUAGUUUGGCCAUUGUGAAUUGUUCCACUCUAAACAUGGGCAUGCAUGUAUCACUGUAGUAUGACGACUUUAUUCUUCAGGGUAAAUACUGAGAAAUGGUAUAGAUGGGUCACAAAAUGGUUUCAUGCCUAGUCUUUUGAGGAGACUCCAUACUGAUUUCCAUAGUGAUUGUACUAAUUUACAGACCCACCAAGAGUGUAAGAGUAUUUUCCCCCAUCUUUUCAGCAUUUAUUAUUAUUUACAUUCUUGAGGACUGCCAUUAUGAUGGGUAUGCAAUGAAACCUCAGUGUAGUAUUGAUUUGCAUUUCCCCAAUUGCUAGUGAUGAUGAAUAUUUUUUUCAUGUAUUUAUUGGCCAUUUGUAUUUCUUCUUUUGACAAGUGUCUACUUAGUUUUCCAUUUAUUCAUUGGGUUAUUUUUUAGCGUAAAGAUUUUUGAGCUCUCAUAUAUUCUAGAUAUUAAUCCUCUGUCAGAAGAGGAGAGAGCAAAGAUUUUCUCCCAUUCUGUGGUUUCUCUUCAAACUCGUAAUUCCUUUAUUGUACAGAAGCCUUUUAAUUUGACACUGUCCAAUUUAUUAAUUAUUGGCAUCAUUAUUUCCUGAACUUUAAGGGUCCUAUAGAGAAAGUCAUUGCCUAUGUCUAAAAGCUGGAGUGUUGAGCCUAGGUUUUCUUCUAGAGUUUCAUGGUUUAUGAUAUAAUUCUGAGGUCUUUAAUCCAUUUUGAGUUGCUUUUUGUGCAGGAUGAUAUAAGGCUCUAGUUUCAAUCUUCUACAUAUGGAUAACCAGUUCUUGUUGCUAUAGCUCUGAAGUAUAAUUUGAAGUAAUGUAUUGUGAUGCCUCCCAACAUUGCUUUUUUGACUGAAAAUUGCUUUGGCUAUUCUGGGUCUUUUAUUCUUUCAAAUAAAUUUUAGGAGUGUGUUUUCUAGUUCUGUAUAGAAUUGGUGACUAAUAUUUUAACUAUAUUUGUAUGGCUGAUAAAGUUAAAGAAAUAUUGAGCAAAUUAAGUAGAGACCUGGAAGAUUUUUUAUAUAUACAUUUUUUAUAGACAGAAACUAUAAUAUCUGAGAUGAAAAAUUACAAUGGAAGUAAUAAAAUCAGAUUAGAAGUUGCAGGAAAAAAAGAUUAGUGAACUUGAAAAGGUUCGUGAAUAGAAACUGUCUGGAAUGAAACACAGAAGGGGAACAACUGGAUAAAAAAUUAAUAGCGCCAUUGAGCUUGGGAAAACUUCAUAUGCCCUACAAUAUACAAAAUUCUAGUCUCCUGAGAAGCAGCAGGAAGGACAGGAAAAAAAAUAAUGGCUGAUUAUUUUCCAAAUGUAGUAAACACUAUAAUCUCACAGUUCCGAGAAACCAAGAACAAGCAGAAAAUGACAUAACAGCAUACCAUAAUCAAAUGGUUGAAAAUCAGCCUGCUGAUAUUUAUUCUGGCACCAACAGUUAUUGCCAGCAAUGGGUGAUUUGGUUUUUACUCCCACAUUUUGGGUUCUAACAGCAUGAUUACCCCUCAGAGAUAGCCAGCAUCAACCGGCCAGAAUUCCCUCCUCACAGGUUUCUCUGAGCUGCACAGGGAGGCUCUCCUCCAUUCUCCUGAGAUACCAGCACCUACCAAACAGCACCUCCUCUUCAUGGAUCCAAGUUUAAGCUUCUUCUCAUGCCUCCCUUCUUCUAAAUGCUGGUAAAAAUAACCCCUUCCCUUUGCUCCCAAUCCCUAGGAGUGGG
rnacentral:lncRNA from 1 species